rnacentral:misc_RNA from 1 species
GCCUCGCCCUCUCUCGCCAGCCUCUCAGUCUCUGCCGCGCCUCCACAAAGGCAAGUAACAUGGGAGAAAUUGGAUAUGAAGCAGACUUGUCUCUGUGCACUUCUAAGAAUGUAUUCUGGGAGCUCAAGAGUUCAAAGUCUUGACAGGAUGUAACGUGAGGAUGUUAUGCAGUUUGGAUGGAUAAUACUUUGGAGAUGGAGAUGGAGGGCAAAAUCCAUAAUUUGUAGAAAUGGACAAUACAGGCUAGACGUAAAGGGUACCAUGUUUUUGGCAGGCCUGAAGUGACUAGUGAAAAGGAGAAAGCUUGGUUGCAUGAGAUGUUGGAGGGAUCGACUUGGAGCUUUGCUGAGCAAGACUUCAAAAUGUGAUUU